rnacentral:rRNA from 1 species
AUUGAACGCUGGCGGCAGGCCUAACACAUGCAAGUCGAGCGAGCGGCGGACGGGUGAGUAAUGUAUGGGGACUGCCCGAUAGAGGGGGAUAACUACUGGAAACGGUAGCUAAUACCGCAUACUAUCGGAUAACCCAUAUGGGAUGAGCUAGUAGGUGAGGUAAUGGCUCACCUAGGCGACGAUCCCUAGCUGGGCUGAGAGGAUGAUCAGACACACUGGAAUGAAGACCUGGCCCAGACUCCUACGGUGGCAGCAGUGGGGAAUAUAGCAAAAGGGUGGGAAGCCUGAUGCAGCCAUGCCGCGUGUAUGAAGAAGGCCCUAGGGUUGUAAAGUACUUUCAGUCGGGAGGCGUUACCGACAGAAGAAGCACCGGCUAACUCCGUGCCAGCAGCCGCGGUAAUAC